AGGAUGGACCAUACCACAGUGACAGCACCGCUUCCCGUCUGCUCAGCGAAGUUAAGCACUGUCGGGUCGAGUUAGUACUACCGUAGUGUUGGAGUAGUUAUCACCCCCCCUG
rnacentral:rRNA from 1 species